UUGGAGGGCAAGUCUGGUGCCAGCAGCCGCGGUAAUUCCAGCUCCAAUAGCGUAUAUUAUAGUUGCUGCAGUUAAGAAGCUCGUAGUUGAAUUUCGAGACCACUAUGUCGGUCGUGCUUCGGUACGUACUGGUAUUGUUGGUUUCUCCCUUCUGACGAACCAUGAUGUCAUUUAUUUGGUGUUGUGGGAAAUCAGGACUGUUACUUUGAAAAAAUUAGAGUGUUUAAAGCAGGC
rnacentral:rRNA from 1 species